UGGCGGACGGGUGAGUAACGCGUGGGUAACCUGCCUCAUACAGGGGGAUAACAGUUAGAAAUGACUGCUAAUACCGCAUAAGACCACAGCACCGCAUGGUGCAGGGGUAAAAACUCCGGUGGUAUGAGAUGGACCCGCGUCUGAUUAGGUAGUUGGUGGGGUAACGGCCUACCAAGCCGACGAUCAGUAGCCGACCUGAGAGGGUGACCGGCCACAUUGGGACUGAGACACGGCCCAG
rnacentral:rRNA from 1 species